AUUCCGGUUGAUCCUGCCGGAGGACAUUGCUAUUGGGAUUCGAUUUAGCCAUGCUAGUCGAACGAGUCCAGACUCGUGGCGAAUAGCUCAGUAACACGUGGCCAAUCUCCCCUUCAGCGGCGGACACCCUCGGGAAACUGAGGCUAAUCCGCCAUACACCUCUCAGACCGGACUGUCGAGAGGUCAAAACGCUUUCCAGCGCUGAAGGAUGAGGCUGCGGCCGAUUAGGUAGACGGUGGGGUAACGGCCCACCGUGCCCAUAAUCGGUACGGGUCGUGAGAGCGAGAACCCGGAGACGGAAUCUGAGACAAGAUUCCGGGCCCUACGGGGCGCAGCAGGCGCGAAACCUUUACACUGCACGCCAGUGCGAUAAGGGGACUCCAAGUGCGAGGGCAUAUCGUCCUCGCUAUCCUGUACUGUAGGGUAGUACAGUAUCAAGAGCUGGGCAAGACCGGUGCCAGCCGCCGCGGUAAUACCGGCAGCUCAAGUGAUGGCCACUCUUAUUGGGCCUAAAGCGUCCGUAGCUGGC
rnacentral:rRNA from 1 species